CACGUAGUUAGCCGGGGCUUUCUUCUCAGGUACCGUCACUCCGAUAGCAGUUACUCUACCGGACGUUCUUCCCUGGCAACAGAGCUUUACGAUCCGAAAACCUUCAUCACUCACGCGGCGUUGCUCCGUCAGGCUUUCGCCCAUUGCGGAAGAUUCCCUACUGCUGCCUCCCGUAGGAGUCUGGGCCGUGUCUCAGUCCCAGUGUGGCCGUUCACCCUCUCAGGUCGGCUACGCAUCGUCGCCUUGGUGAGCCGUUACCUCACCAACUAGCUAAUGCGCCGCAGGCCCAUCCGCAAGUGACAGAUUGCUCCGUCUUUCAUCAUUCCCUCAGGAGAGGAAAUGAGAUAUCCGGUAUUAGCUCACGUUUCCGUGGGUUAUCCCGGUCUUGCAGGCAGGUUGCCUACGUGUUACUCACCCGUCCGCCGCUAACUAUCAGGAGAGCAAGCUCUCCAUCAAGUCCGCUCGACUUGCAUGUAUUAGGCACGCCGC
rnacentral:rRNA from 1 species